rnacentral:rRNA from 1 species
CCGGAGCUAACGCGUUAAGUCGACCGCCUGGGGAGUACGGCCGCAAGGUUAAAACUCAAAUGAAUUGACGGGGGCCCGCACAAGCGGUGGAGCAUGUGGUUUAAUUCGAUGCAACGCGAAGAACCUUACCUGGUCUUGACAUCCACGGAAGUUUUCAGAGAUGAGAAUGUGCCUUCGGGAACCGUGAGACAGGUGCUGCAUGGCUGUCGUCAGCUCGUGUUGUGAAAUGUUGGGUUAAGUCCCGCAACGAGCGCAACCCUUAUCCUUUGUUGCCAGCGGUCCGGCCGGGAACUCAAAGGAGACUGCCAGUGAUAAACUGGAGGAAGGUGGGGAUGACGUCAAGUCAUCAUGGCCCUUACGACCAGGGCUACACACGUGCUACAAUGGCGCAUACAAAGAGAAGCGAC